GGAGCUAUAGCUCAGUGGCAGAGCACUUGCAUAGCAUGUAUGAGGCACUGGGUUGGAUCCUUAGCACCA
rnacentral:tRNA from 1 species